rnacentral:rRNA from 1 species
AGCAGUCGCCGCGGUAAUACGUAGGGUGCAAGCGUUAAUCGGAAUUACUGGGCGUAAAGCGUGCGCAGGCGGUUUGUUAAGACAGAUGUGAAAUCCCCGGGCUCAACCUGGGAACUGCAUUUGUGACUGGCAAGCUAGAGUGUGGCAGAGGGGGGUGGAAUUCCGCGUGUAGCAGUGAAAUGCGUAGAUAUGCGGAGGAACACCGAUGGCGAAGGCAGCCCCCUGGGCCAACACUGACGCUCAUGCACGAAAGCGUGGGGAGCAAACAGGAUUAGAUACCCCGGUAGUCCCUGUCUCUUAUAC